rnacentral:lncRNA from 1 species
AACAGAAUCCAACCCAAGAGGUUGUUGCUUAGACCAAAGGGUAAUCCUGUUCCUUCUGUUGACAUCCUCUCAUCAACCAAAGCCAUCGCGGGAUUGCUCAUCACCGCCGUCAAAGCAGCUGUUGCUGCAGCUGAAACUCCAGCCCCCAUGACUGAGACGUUUCCUUGCUUUGUCUCCAUUGAACAUCUCACUCCUCCCUUCUUCUUACCCAUUGGAGGCAAACCUGAGCAAACAAUAGUUAAACUGGUUACAAUCAACAUUUGUUUAUUGUUGAUUCUCCACUAAACUAAAGUUUGGUCUAAAAUCACACUCUCAUUUACACAAUACUUCUAUUAUUAAUGUUUGGUUCUGACUACAAUCAAACCUUUAGAUCAAAAUUGUUUCUUGACUUCUUGUUGAUUCACCACCAAACUAGACUUAUCUCUAUACAUGUUUUCAAAACCACUCAACAAAUAUAAGCAAACAAAGAUCUUCUUCACUUUGCACAUAACCAGAAUGAAUUUCUACUAAAAGAUGAGAUCUGAGAAAGAUCAAGGAAGGCUUUUUUACCAAGAACAGGAGCAGAGAUGGCGACGGUAGGCUUGAGAAGGAGAGCCGGACGAGCGGCGGAGACGGUGGAAGCGGAGGCAGUAAAGCUAGCCAUUUCUCUAUUUGCUUCCCCUAACGACUGAGAGACUCUUCAAUUGAUUUUUUGUUUGUUCUGUUUGUGU